GCUUACGGCCACACCACCCUGAACGCRCCCGAUCUCGUCUGAUCUCGGAAGCUAAGCAGGGUCGGGCCUAGUCAGUACUUGGAUGGGAGACUGCAUGGGAAUACCAGGUGCUGUAAGCU
rnacentral:rRNA from 1 species